GCCCUCAUGGAUCAGUGGUAGAUCCCCCUUGCCUUCUUAUGUAUAAUCCCGUAGAAUGGCUAUAAGGAUGAUAUGGGUUCGACUCCCGUUGAGGGCA